CCUACGGGGGGCAGCAGUGAGGAAUAUUGGUCAAUGGACGAGAGUCUGAACCAGCCAAGUAGCGUGAAGGAUGACUGCCCUAUGGGUUGUAAACUUCUUUUAUAAAGGAAUAAAACGAGGCACGUGUGCCUUUUUGCAUGUACUUUAUGAAUAAGGAUCGGCUAACUCCGUGCCAGCAGCCGCGGUAAUACGGGGGAUGCAAGCGUUAUCCGGAUUUCUUGGGUUUAAAGGGUGCGUAGGGUGUGAGGUAAGUCAGCGUGGAAAUGCCCCCGCUCAACGGGGUGAAGUGCCAUUGAUACUGCCUUGCUAGAAUGCGGAUGAGGUGGGAGGAAUGUGUGGUGUAGCGGUGAAAUGCAUAGAUAUCACACAGAACACCGAUUGCGAAGGCAUCUCACGAAUCCGCGAUUGACGCUGAUGCACGAAAGCGUGGGUAUCAAACAGGAUUAGAUACCCUUGUAGUC
rnacentral:rRNA from 1 species